rnacentral:rRNA from 1 species
CGAAUCCUACGGGAGGCAGCAGUGGGGGAUAUUGCACAAUGGGGGGAACCCUGAUGCAGCGACGCCGCGUGGGUGAAGAAGCGCCUCAGCGCGUAAAGCCCUGUCAGCAGGGAAGAAGAUGACGGUACCUGAAGAAGAAGCCCCGGCUAACUACGUGCCAGCAGCCGCGGUAAUACGUAGGGGGCAAGCGUUAUCCGGAUUUACUGGGUGUAAAGGGGGCGCAGACGGCGAUGCAAGCCAGGAGUGAAAGCCCGGGGCCCAACCCCGGGACUGCUCUUGGAACUGCGUGGCUGGAGUGCAGGAGG